UACGUAGGGUGCAAGCGUUGUCCGGAAUUAUUGGGCGUAAAGAGCUCGUAGGCGGUUUGUUGCGUCGGCUGUGAAAUCCCGAGGCUCAACCUCGGGUCUGCAGUCGAUACGAGCAAACUAGAGUGUUGCAGGGGGAGACUGGAAUUCCUGGUGUAGCGGUGGAAUGCGCAGAUAUCAGGAAGAACACCAAUGGCGAAAGCAGCUUUCUGGGACGGUACUGACGCUGGAGACGCGAAAGCGUGGGGAGCAAACAGG
rnacentral:rRNA from 1 species